GCGGCAAUAGCUCAGUGGUGGAGCCCCACUUCGCAUGCGGGGAGACCCGGGUUCGAUCCCCGGCUGCUUCC
rfam:Toxocara canis scaffold237, whole genome shotgun sequence.